GGCUAGUGGAUCCUGUCCCAUUGUAGAAGCUUGUCUGGGAUCUGACUAUGAAGAAGCUUGACUGAAGUCUACCUAUGAUAGAAGUUCGAAAGAAAUUUGUUUACAGUAGAGGCUCGAAUGGAAUUUGCUUACGGUAGAUAUCCGGGGUAGACUGCCUGCUGUAGGAGUUCGAAGUAGACCCCUCGUAGUAGAAGUUUAGAGUUGAUCGCUCGUAGUAGAAGUUCGGCUCUCGCAGGAGCUCGGUUGGAAUCCUGAAGGCGGUCGACCAUCAUAGAAACUUGGAUGGAGUCUUAUUACUGUAGAAAUCUCAUCGUCAGAGAAGCUCGGAUAUUGAUGAAGUCCGGAAGAAGUUCGGAGUAGGGUCGUCCGCGGUCAGAAAAAGUCUGGAAGGGAUUCGGAGAAUAGUUGAUCACUGUAGAAGGUCGGCUGAUAGUGAAGCCUAGAGAGCCUUUAGAGCGGCCUGGUAGAUGGAUGGAGAAGCUAAUUGUUGGAGAAGUUCGGAAGUUCGGACGGUCGAGGGGGUUUAGAGAGACGCCACACAAGGUCGGAAGCUGGAAAAGCCCUGGAAGGGUCGGUCUUUUACAAACUUUGAUCGGGGGGUAUUUUAUACCCAAUAAUUAGAUAUUUAAUUGUAAAAGUAUUUUACAAAAUUAAAAACUAUUUUCAAACAUCGAAUCUAAAUUCAUAUCAGUCCAAAACUUAAUUGAGAAUUAAGUGAUCUAGAUUUGAGAAUCAAAGAUCUAAGACAUUAAUUUCAUAACUCAUGGGUUAAUGGAUUAGCUCAAGUCAAGUCCA
rnacentral:lncRNA from 1 species